GUGGAUGAUGGUUGUUUCUGUUUCCUCCCAACACAUAUACUGGGAUGGAGAUCCCCCCUGAGUUAUAUCCUCAUAGGGAUGAGUCUUGUUUCAUCGCGCCUCUCUAGUUUGUUCCUAGGUUGGCCUUUUGCGUCCUUCCUGGCGUUUCCCCGUGGUUUAAAUGAAUGAUUGCUCAGUAACCAGUAGUUUCCAUCUUUUCCUCGGCGGAGUCUGUGGUUUUCUACCCUUAUACCGGUAGUUGUAAAU
rnacentral:lncRNA from 1 species